rfam:Ailuropoda melanoleuca scaffold821_28, whole genome shotgun sequence.
GCCUGGCUGGCUCAGUUGGAAGAGCACGUGACUCUUGAUCUUGGGGUUGUGGGUUCAAGCCCUAUGCUGGGUG